UCUCUAGAUUUYGACGCAUCACGAAAAGCUGUCAUUACCAAAGAGUAAUCUUGAUGACAAGAACUCUUUGGGAGCAAGUUUUUUUGAGAUCGUCAACGCAUGGAUAAUAAUGYCUUAGGUACCAGCAAAAUCAGAGAUUCGCAAUCUGCUGUUGAUAAAGAAAUCGAGAAUAUCUUGACUAAGUUAAUGAUAUUAGUAUAGGAGUAUCCCAUAAUAUGCAUGGCAAGCUGAUGGUCAAUCUUCCUUGCUUGCUUGCUAUCACAUCUUCCUUGCUUCCUUCCUUCCUUCCUU